rnacentral:rRNA from 1 species
GAGUUUGAUCUUGGCUCAGGAUUAACGCUAGCGGCAGGCAUAAUACAUGCAAGUUGAACGGGAUAAGUUGUAGCAAUACGACUUUGAGAGUGGCGCACGGGUGCGUAACACGUAUGCAACCUACCUUAAACUGGGGAAUAGGCCCCUCGAAAGAGGGAUUAAUACCGCAUAACAAGGCGUAUAGGCAUCUAUACUCUUUUAAAACUACGGUGGUUUAAGAUGGGCAUUGCGGUUGAUUAGCUAGUUGGUGAGGUAAUGGGCUCACCAAGGCUACGAUCAAUAGGGGGUCUGAGAGGAUGUCCCCCACACUGGUACUGAGACACGGACCAGACUCCUACGGGAGGCGAGCAGUAGGGAAUAUUGGUCAAUGGGCGAAAGCCGUAGAACCAGCCAAUGCCGCGUGCAGGAUGAAUGCCCUAU